CUGGCAUUUCGCAAGCCUGAUCCAGCCUGCCANGUGNGUGAUGAAGGCCUUAGGGUCGUAAAGCUCUUUCGCCAGGGAUGAUAAUGACAGUACCUGGUAAAGAAACCCCGGCUAACUCCGUGCCAGCAGCCGCGGUAAUACGGAGGGGGUUAGCGUUGUUCGGAAUUACUGGGCGUAAAGCGCGCGUAGGCGGAUCAGAAAGUUGGGGGUGAAAUCCCGGGGCUCAACCCCGGAACUGCCUCCAAAACUCCUGGUCUUGAGUUCGAGAGAGGUGAGUGGAAUUCCGAGUGUAGAGGUGAAAUUCGUAGAUAUUCGGAGGAACACCAGUGGCGAAGGCGGCUCACUGGCUCGAUACUGACGCUGAGGUGCGAAAGUGUGGGGAGCAAACAGGAUUAGAUACCCUGGUAGUCCACACCGUAAACGAUGAAUGCCAGUCGUCAGCAAGCAUGCUUGUUGGUGACACACCUAACGGAUUAAGCAUUCCGCCUGGGGAGUACGGUCGCAAGAUUAAAACUCAAAGGAAUUGACGGGGGCCCGCACAAGCGGUGGAGCAUGUGUGGUUUAAUUCGAAGCAACGCGCAGAACCUUACCAACCCUUACAUCUGUAGU
rnacentral:rRNA from 1 species